CCCUUAGAUGUCCUGGGCCGCACGCGUGCUACACUGAUGCAUACAGCAAGUAUUUUCCAGCUCCGCGAGGCUGCUGGUAAUCAUGAAUAUGCAUCGUGCUGGGGAUAGAUCUUUGGAAUUAUAGAUCUUGAACGAGGAAUUCCUAGUAGGCGCAAGUCAUUAGCUUGCGUCGAUUAAGUCCCUGCCCUUUGUACACACCGCCCGUCGCUCCUACCGAUUUCGAGUGAUUCGGUGAACCUUUUGGACAGCAUCCAGUCUCGUGCUGGGAGUUGAAAGUCAAGUAAACCAUNUNACUUAGNGGAAGGAGAANUCGUANCA
rnacentral:rRNA from 1 species